AACUUCUUUUUCCACUAAAUAUAGUUCAAUAAAGUUUUGCUUUUUGCAUGAAUGUAGAAAAAUAAAAUUAUGGGUAUGGAAUGCUGAUAACAAAUGAAUAGGAAGUGUGUAUAUUUUUGGAAUGAGAUAUCUGGUGGUGACUUUGGACAAUAUCAUUACUAAGACUUUGGGGACAGAUAAUUUUUUCGUGUAAUUAUAUAAAGCGUUGUGCAUGUUCAGUUUAUUCAGGAGAGCGAUAGACAUUCAAGCUAGGGAUAUGAAGAAAAAGGCCAAGCUUUUAAAAAAGCUGACCAUGUUUACAAUAUAUGAAGCGGACUGGUUUCAUUAUUUCUAAAUAAAUGAGACAGACUUCAGUGAAUUUUCCACCUUAUUAUAUCGAAAUUAUGUAAUGGAUAAAGCAUAAAGCAGAAGAAAUUUACUCCUUCAAGGGUAUCGACUGGGACAUCAGUGUCCCAGAAGUAUUUUAUAAAUGUCCUGUUUGGCAAUAAAUAUACCCAGCAUGGAAUUAAUUGGGAAUAUAAAGCCAGAUCAGUGUAUUCAAGUUUCAGAGAAAAAAAUACCAUAUUCAGGAAAAGGACUUGAAGUUUGUCAGUCGGACCCGAGGCUUGUUGCUUUUCUGAAUGGUGUUAUUUUCAAGAACGGGGAGUCAGUGAAAUUAUUGGAAAUCAAAUGUCUAUUCAUUGGUAAAAUUAUUUCUGCUGAAAAUACUGAGCACCACUGCCAAUAUUUGAGAAGAGGAAAAGCCAGCUAAUUUGAAAGAAUGAAUAAACAUUAUGCUAGAGUCUGAUUAAGUAUGGCACUUAUGAAUUUGAAAAAUUGUGACUCUAUCGUGUUCUCAUCUGGUGAUAAGACGUUCAAAACUGUUCAUAAUUCUUAAAACUUGAAAUGAUUUAUUUUAAGAAUAUGCUCUACACAUUGUGUAGCAUGAAAGUUAAAAUUUUUCAAUUAGAAAGAUAUUUUUCCAAGUCUUAAUUGUGCUGUAAUAAGACCAUCCAGAAUAAGAAAAGUUCCGAAUCAUACAGGUCUGAAGUUAUACAUGUUAUAACUUCCAGAUUAUUCAAAAAUUUGAGUCCAGUUGUUAUUAGUAAGAGAGUAAAGGAUUUGCUAUUGGAUCAUACAAUAUACAGGUUGAGUGAUUUAUUUAGGAAUCAUUUUUGUAAAUAUUAUUUGAUAAUUUGUAACUACAAACAUGCUCUCGGGGGAUUAGUCGACCCCAGCCAUGCCAAGGUCUGUGCUGGCAUGGUUCACCGCAGCCUCCUCGGGGCGAGAGUUGGACAGUGAUCGACUGACAAUCACCAAUGCGGUGCGACUCCCCAUACCCUGCUGUAGUGUCGUGGCUUGGGGUAUUGCACGGGGUUUACGAUGCCAGGUAUGCAAGGGAUCAGCACCUUCAUGCCUGAUAUACCGACAUGUGGAAUCUGAUGUCUGUGGUCAUGUCUCGCGAGCAGAGGACACAUGCCGGGGGAUUUGGCUUAACCGCCUGAACCGAGUGUAUGAAAGACACAAUAAAAACUUUCCCCAAGACAAAGUGGAACAGCGUAUGCCGAAGUCUGCGUGGCUAGUGGGAGGAUCUAGUCCUGAAUAUGCGAACUCCAGAUACCAGGCGACCUCUGGUUUAAUUGGCAUUCCAGGGGCAUGCGGGGCUCUGCCUUUGGUGACUGAAAUUCCAUAGCUGCACGUGGGACUUCAUAUGGACCAGAUAGUAGAAAAAGAAGGGCCUAGCACUAGCCCUAAUGUGCUAAUUGAGGAAGAACAGAGCCUCACUCAGCCUGAGGAACAGGAGGCAAUUCCUGACCCCAUGGCGGAGGAAAUGCUGCUGAAGAGCGGCGAUGAAGAGGUCGUAGCUGGCCUUGAAAAGCUGACGGUCAGGAGACCUAGACUCUCCAGGCCGCCAGAAAGAGGAUGAAGUUUCUCCUCAAGAAAGGGAUGGUUCCUGACGAUGCCAGGAAAGAAGCCUCCAAACCAAUUGGUCCAAGGCAGACAACAAGCCGAGGGACCAAUAGAACUAGGUCGGAGGACAGCACGCCUAAGAGUGCCAAAUGUGAGGCUUCAAAAGUCGCACGGUCCUCAGGAGCUUCCAGGGCUCAGCCCUUAGGAACUCCCAAGGUUCCUGCAUCAGGUGGGCCCACCUACAGCCAGGUUACCGCUGGUCUGAAGGUGGGGAUAAUGCACAAAGUU